rnacentral:rRNA from 1 species
UACGAAGGGGGCUAGCGUUGUUCGGAAUUACUGGGCGUAAAGCGCACGUAGGCGGAUCGUUAAGUCGGGGGUGAAAUCCUGGAGCUCAACUCCAGAACUGCCUUCGAUACUGGCGAUCUAGAGUCCGGAAGAGGUGAGUGGAACUCCUAGUGUAGAGGUGGAAUUCGUAGAUAUUAGGAAGAACACCAGUGGCGAAGGCGGCUCACUGGUCCGGUACUGACGCUGAGGUGCGAAAGCGUGGGGAGCAAACAGG